rnacentral:rRNA from 1 species
CCAGACAGCCAGGAUGUUGGCUUAGAAGCAGCCAUCAUUUAAAGAAAGCGUAAUAGCUCACUGGUCGAGUCGGCCUGCGCGGAAGAUGUAACGGGGCUAAACCAUGCACCGAAGCUGCGGCAGCGACRCUAUGYGUUGUUGGGUAGGGGAGCGUUCUGUAAGCCUGYGAAGGUGURCUGUGAGGYAUGCUGGAGGUAUCAGAAGUGCGAAUGCUGACAUAAGUAACGAUAAAGCGGGUGAAAAGCCCGCUCGCCGGAAGACCAAGGGUUCCUGUCCAACGUUAAUCGGGGCAGGGUGAGUCGACCCCUAAGG